CGCCCCGUCAUCUGGGGAGUAGCCAGCCGUCCGUUCGGGACGGGCCAUCGCGUCAACAUACUCGGUCGAGAGGCCGUGGUGCGGUGGAAACGCGAAAGCGUUUGGGCGAGACCAAUGGCAUCGACCCCACGUCCGGGCCGGGCGGCGGGUAUCGAUGUCCGUUGGAAUCGC
rnacentral:ncRNA from 2 species